UCCUACGGGAGGCAGCAGUGGGGAAUCUUGCGCAAUGGGGGCAACCCUGACGCAGCUAUGCCGCGUGAAUGAUGAAGGCCUUAGGGUUGUAAAGUUCUUUUGCCCGUGACGAUGAUGACGGUAACGGGAGAAUAAGCUCCGGCUAACUUCGUGCCAGCAGCCGCGGUAAUACGAAGGGGGCUAGCGUUGUUCGGAAUUACUGGGCGUAAAGCGCGCGCAGGCGGUUCGAUAAGUUGGGGGUGAAAUCCCUGGGCUCAACCCAGGAAUGGCCUUCAAGACUGUCGAGCUAGAGGACGAGAGAGGUGAGUGGAAUUCCCAGUGUAGAGGUGAAAUUCGUAGAUAUUGGGAAGAACACCGGUGGCGAAGGCGGCUCACUGGCUCGUUCCUGACGCUGAGGCGCGAAAGCGUGGGGAGCAAACAGGAUUAGAUACCCUGGUAGUCCACGCCCUAAACGAUGAGUGCCAGGUGUCGGGAAGCUUAGCUUCUCGGCGCCGCAGCUAACGCCUUAAGCACUCCGCCUGGGGAGUACGGCCGCAAGGUUAAAACUCAAAGGAAUUGACGGA
rnacentral:rRNA from 1 species